rnacentral:tRNA from 1 species
GGGGAUUUAGCUCAGCGGUAGAGCGCUUGCCUAGCAAGCGCAAGGCUCUGGGUUCGGUCCCCAGCUCCG